ACCCCAAAAAAACGAAAAAAAAA
rnacentral:sRNA from 1 species